rnacentral:lncRNA from 1 species
AUGCAUUCGUUUACUGAUCGAGAAAAUAUGAAUAGACAAUCAGAUGUAACAUAAACACUCUUGGAUUAUUUGCUUCUGGUUCUCAAUCACACUCACAACCCUACAAAGAUUUAGAUGACAACAACAGUCUUGGUUGUCAUCCUUUGGACCUCUGAAACAUGAUGUAAUUGAAUGAACGAUGGAUUGAGGUUGAGAAAUCAAGUCUUUUGAGUUCUUUAAUCAAUAGAUGACUGAAUGAAAU